GGUCAAGCGAAUAAGCGCACACGGUGGAUGCCUUGGCGGUCAGAGGCGAUGAAGGACGUGGCAGCCUGCGAAAAGUAUCGGGGAGCUGGCAACAAGCUUUGAUCCGGUAAUGUCCGAAUGGGGAAACCCACCCGCUUGCGGGUAUCCUGCAGUGAAUACAUAGCUGCUGGAAGCGAACCUGGUGAACUGAAAUAUCUAAGUAACCAGAGGAAAAGAAAUCAACCGAGAUUCCGUAAGUAGCGACGAGCGAACGCGGACUAGCCCUUAAGCUGAUUUGGUUCUAGGAAAACGCUCUGGAAAGAGCGGCCAUAGAAGGUGAUAGCCCUGUAUCUGAAAGGGCCAUUUCAGUGAAGACGAGUAGGGCGGGGCACGUGAAACCCUGUCUGAACAUGGGGGGACCAUCCUCCAAGGCUAAAUACUACUGACCGACCGAUAGUGAACCAGUACCGUGAGGGAAAGGCGAAAAGAACCCCGGAGAGGGGAGUGAAAUAGAACCUGAAACCGUGUGCGUACAAGCAGUAGGAGCUCCGCAAGGAGUGACUGCGUACCUUUUGUAUAAUGGGUCAGCGACUUACUGUUCGUGGCAAGCUUAACCGUAUAGGGGAGGCGAAGGGAAACCGAGUCUGAUAAGGGCGCAUAGUCGCGGGCAGUAGACCCGAAACCGGGUGAUCUAGUCAUGCCCAGGGUGAAGGUGCGGUAACACGCACUGGAGGCCCGAACCCACUCCCGUUGCAAAGGUAGGGGAUGAGGUGUGAUUAGGAGUGAAAAGCUAAUCGAACCCGGAGAUAGCUGGUUCUCCUCGAAAGCUAUUUAGGUAGCGCCUCAUAUGUAUCCUCUCGGGGGUAGAGCACUGUUAUGGCUAGGGGGUCAUCGCGACUUACCAAACCAUUGCAAACUCCGAAUACCGAGACGGACUGUAUGGGAGACACACGGCGGGUGCUAACGUCCGUCGUGAAAAGGGAAACAACCCAGACCCACAGCUAAGGUCCCAAAUUCACUGCUAAGUGGAAAACCAUGUGGAAAGGCACAGACAGCCAGGAGGUUGGCUUAGAAGCAGCCACCCUUUAAAGAAAGCGUAAUAGCUCACUGGUCGAGUCGGUCUGCGGGGAAGAUUUAACGGGGCUAAGCAGUGAACCGAAGCUUGGGGUGCAUACUUUGUAUGCGCGGUAGAGGAGCGUUCCGUAAGCCGUUGAAGGUGGAUUGAGAAGUCUGCUGGAGGUAUCGGAAGUGCGAAUGCUGACAUGAGUAACGAUAAUGCGGGUGAAAAACCCGCACGCCGAAAGCCCAAGGUUUCCUUGCGCAACGUUAAUCGGCGCAGGGUGAGUCGGCCCCUAAGGCGAGGACGAAAGUCGUAGUCGAUGGGAAGCAGGUUAAUAUUCCUGCACCUCGCGUAAGUGCGAUGGAGGGACGGAGAAGGUUAGGUGUACCAGGCGUUGGUUGUCCUGGGGAAAGGCGGUAGGUUUGGAUCUUUGGCAAAUCCGGGAUCCUUUAAGACCGACACCGAGACGAGCCUUUAAGGCGAAGUCACUGAUACCACGCUUCCAGGAAAAGCUCCUAAGCUUCAGCUUACGCAGACCGUACCGUAAACCGACACAGGUGGGUAGGAUGAGAAUUCUCAGGCGCUUGAGAGAACUCGGGUGAAGGAACUAGGCAACAUGGCACCGUAACUUCGGGAGAAGGUGCACCCUUUUUGGUGGCUCGUGCGAGCUAUAGCUGAAGAGGGUCGCAGUAACCAGGCCGCUGCGACUGUUUAUCAAAAACACAGCACUCUGCAAACACGAAAGUGGACGUAUAGGGUGUGACGCCUGCCCGGUGCUGGAAGGUUAAUUGAUGGGGUCAGCCGCAAGGCGAAGCUCUUGAUCGAAGCCCCAGUAAACGGCGGCCGUAACUAUAACGGUCCUAAGGUAGCGAAAUUCCUUGUCGGGUAAGUUCCGACCUGCACGAAUGGCGUAACGACAGCGGCGCUGUCUCCACCCGAGACUCAGUGAAAUUGAAAUCGCUGUGAAGAUGCAGCGUUCCCGUGGCAAGACGGAAAGACCCCGUGAACCUUUACUAUAGCUUUACACUGAACGUUGAGUUCGUCUGUGUAGGAUAGGUGGGAGGCUAUGAAACUGUGGCGCUAGCUGCAGCGGAGCCAUCCUUGAAAUACCACCCUGUCGUGCUUGACGUUCUAACCUGGGCCCAUUAUCUGGGUCGGGGACCGUGUAUGGUGGGUAGUUUGACUGGGGCGGUCUCCUCCUAAAGAGUAACGGAGGAGCUCGAAGGUACGCUCAGCGCGGUCGGACAUCGCGCACUGUGUGCAAAGGCAUAAGCGUGCUUGACUGCAAGAUCGACGGAUCAAGCAGGUAGGAAACUAGGACUUAGUGAUCCGGUGGUUCUGUAUGGAAGGGCCAUCGCUCAACGGAUAAAAGGUACUCCGGGGAUAACAGGCUGAUACCGCCCAAGAGUUCAUAUCGACGGCGGUGUUUGGCACCUCGAUGUCGGCUCAUCACAUCCUGGGGCUGUAGUCGGUCCCAAGGGUAUGGCUGUUCGCCAUUUAAAGUGGUACGCGAGCUGGGUUCAGAACGUCGUGAGACAGUUCGGUCCCUAUCUGCCAUGGGCGUUGGAGAUUUGAGAGGGGCUGCUCCUAGUACGAGAGGACCGGAGUGGACGAACCUCUGGUGUUCCGGUUGUCACGCCAGUGGCAUUGCCGGGUAGCUAUGUUCGGAAGCGAUAACCGCUGAAAGCAUCUAAGCGGGAAGCGCGCCUCAAGAUGAGAUCUCCCGGGGCACAAGCCCCCUGAAGGAACCAUGUAGACUACGUGGUUGAUAGGUCAGGUGUGUAAGUACAGCAAUGUAUUGAGCUAACUGAUACUAAUGAUCCGUGCGGCUUGACCAU
rnacentral:rRNA from 1 species